rnacentral:rRNA from 2 species
GAGUUUGAUCAUGGCUCAGAGCGAACGCUGGCGGCAGGCCUAACACAUGCAAGUCGAACGGAUCCUUCGGGAUUAGUGGCGGACGGGUGAGUAACACGUGGGAACGUGCCCUUUGGUUCGGAACAACUCAGGGAAACUUGAGCUAAUACCGGAUGUGCCCUUCGGGGAAGAUUUAUCGCCAUUGGAGCGGCCCGCGUCUGAUUAGCUAGUUGGUGAGGUAAAGGCUCACCAAGGCUACGAUCAGUAGCUGGUCUGAGAGGAUGAUCAGCCACAUUGGGACUGAGACACGGCCCAAACUCCUACGGGAGGCAGCAGUGGGGAAUCUUGCGCAAUGGGCGAAAGCCUGACGCAGCCAUGCCGCGUGAAUGAUGAAGGUCUUAGGAUUGUAAAAUUCUUUCACCGGGGACGAUAAUGACGGUACCCGGAGAAGAAGCCCCGGCUAACUUCGUGCCAGCCGCCGCGGUAAC